rnacentral:rRNA from 1 species
GUGCCAGCCGCCGCGGUAAGACGUAGGGGGCAAGCGUUGCUCGGAAUCACUGGGCUUAAAGGGCGCGUAGGCGGCAGGGCAAGUCUGGGGUAGAAGGCGGAGGCUCAACCUCUGUAAUGCCCUGGAAACUGCUUUGCUUGAGCGAGCGAGGGGAGGGCGGAAUUCCCGGUGUAGCGGUGAAAUGCGUAGAUAUCGGGAGGAAGGCCUGUGGCGAAGGCGGCCCUCUGGCGCUUAGCUGACGCUGAGGCGCGAAAGCGUGGGGAGCAAACAGGAUUAGAUACCCGGGUAGUCCUGGCCGUAAACGAUGGAUGCUAGAUGUGGGCGGGGAGACCCGUCCGUGUCGCAAGCUAACGCGUUAAGCAUCCCGCCUGGGUAGUACGGCCGCAAGGUUGAAACUUAAAGGAAUUGACGGGG